rnacentral:lncRNA from 1 species
AUAUGACGAGUGUAAUACAUACAUAUUUUAUUUUAGCCUGAGAGGCUGUAUUUUAUUGAGCGUUUUGAGCUGUCGCAUGCAGCAUAUUUUCUUUUCUAUGGAAAAGUAAAAAUUGGGAAAACAUAAAGAAUUAUUUCCUUUAUUUUAUUUUUGUCCACUCACUUUAACGUUAUUAAAUGUUUUCCCCUGGGCCUUUCGUUUUAAAUUGCCCAGUCUGCAGAGUUCGGGUUGGAUCUAGUAGGAGGCAAGGCAUAGUCACCCGUAUUUCUGCCAGUUUUCAUCAGUAGGUUACCUGUUCAACCUACUCGUGUUUUCUUGCUUCCGCUUGUGUUUAGUAGCUCUGAAUACUUUAGGAUUAUUGUAUAUUAUGUGAUGUUUGGAAGUGUUGAAUUAAGAGUGAAAUUUGGAAUUUUCGAGUUAGGGUUGUCCAUCUGCAAGGGAGAUUUUCUCAAUCUUUUCAGUAAAUUUUCCUUGGAGGUGGUCACCGCACGACUUACUCCGGGUUUCAAGGUGAAAUUCGGGGUGGGUCGUGUCAUAUUCUCCCAUUCUCCACGCACCUAGUACUAUUCAUGACGUUUUGAAAUAAAAGUUCAUGAGCUAUCAAUCAAAUCGAAGGGUUUCAGGGUUAAGUUUCGAUAGUGGAAGCUACAAAAAUCGUAACAAAAUAAGUGCUGCAAGCAAAUUAAGAAAUUACGCAACAGAGAGAUUUCAUAUGCGAAAAGCGAAGAUGGGGUGUGCUUUCUUUAUGUAUAAUUAUUGUAGAGGAGGUGGACCGUAUAUAGCAUAAUGGAAUGGAAUCUCAUGAUCGAUCGAGUACACGAAUGGAUGUUCAUUCAAACUUCUGUAUCAAAAUAAGCGUAUGCCUCUCUAUCUAAACUUUAAUUUCAAUCCCACCAUAUGAGGCAAAAGACACACCCCCAUAUUGUUGUAGUGGGAUUGAAAUUAAGAGGUGUUGCAAAUCGUCUUAUGUGUGACAUUUUUUCUCAUAUCCUAUCAAUAUCCACACUAAUACCCUUAUUUGCCACACAUAAGGUGAUUUGCAACACCUCUACAUGUCACAAACCUCCACACAAAGUGUGUUUGGCUUUUGCUCUAUAUUGUUGUAGUGUCUGAUGAGAUAUUUACAGUAAGAGAACAUAAACGAUUAGCUAGAUCGAGAUCGAUCGACAACAAGCCAACUAGGAUAUCGAGUCUUUUAGUUAACUUAUCAGCUAUAGUGUGCAAGUUUGUGAGUUGGGAUAAUCUCUGUCUGCUAGCAUCUUUAUCACUCUCUAUUUUGGUUUUUUAGUUAUUUUAAAAAGCGUGUUUAACUUUUUUAGUAUUUUCGGAGCUCCAGCAGACUAGCCGAAGUUUAGCUAUUUUGAUUGUUAGCUAUCUCGCUAGAUAAAUUUAGAGAGCGAGACGAGGCUCUCUAUAAUUUAAUUCAUUAUUUUGAAGAUAUUUUAUGUGAUAUUUAAAUACAUAUAAAUUAUUUAAUCUUCAUUUGAGCAAUAAUAUUAAUUUAAUAUUAGUUAAAGUAGAGAACAUUGAUGCAGACGUAUCUCUAAAAUCGCUAGCUAAAAUGUAAUUUUAGCUAAUUUAACUCAAAAAUGGCUAGCAUUGGUUAAGAUGCUCUUAGCUCUUUCAGACUCAUGAACAUUUUAGUAGCUAGCGAACAUAAUAAUAGAGUCAUAAUAACAUUAUACACUGAGAGAUGAGAGAUUGGCAUAUGCGUGCAUAUAUAGUGCUUACACUGCGAUGAAUUGAAUUUAAUUGGUGUUAAUUAAAUAGUAAUGUUUUUGGUUUGCUUUAGAAUGGUUCAAGCCCUUUUGCUUGUUUUAAGGUGUGUCUAUUACUACCCCACAAACCAUUUUGUUUACCCCACAUUCUCUUCACACGUCUACUUAUUUAUUUUUAAGGGCCAAUUACAUAGAAGUCCACUUUAAGACAUUUUAUCAUAUAGAGGACACCCAAACAUUUUUACCCACAUAAGUCCAUCCAAGCCUAAAUAAAGGUAUUGAAGUUUAAUUAAAUUAUAGACUGCCAUCCAACAAAAAAAAUUAGAUUUUCUCUCUUAUAUUUACAAAAAUAUCACUAAUGUAAAAAGUCAACAACCACCCUCCUCUCUGGAAAAGUCUCCGGCAGACCUCCGGCGAGGUCUUUGACGGACUCCGGCCGACCUCCGGCGAUGUCUCUAGCCGACUUCCGGCAAGGUUUCCGACGGUUACGAAAGCUACUACCGCUAGCAAGAAAAGCUAUUAUCCUUAGCUAGAAACCGACUACAAAAGCUACUACCGUCAGCAAGAAAAACUACUACCGCCAGCAAAAAAACCUACUACCGCUAGCAACAAAAGCUACUAUCCCUAGCUAGAAAAGCUACUACCACCGACUACAAAAGCUAUUAUCGCCAGCAACAAAAGCUAUUAUCUCUAGCUACAAAAGUUACUACAGUCAACAACAAAAGCUACUACCGCCACCAACAAAAGCUACUACUGUCACCAACAAAAACUACUACCGAUAUAAACAAAAGCUACUACCCCUAUAAACAAAAGCGACUGCCACCAAAAAGCUACUACCGAGAUAAACAAAAGCUACUACCAACAUAAACAAAAGUUACUACCGCCAUAAACAAAAGCUACUACCAACAUAAAAAAAGCUAUUAUCACCGUCAACAAAAGCUACUACGAACCGUCACCUACAAAAGCUACUACCGCCACCAAUCGAAUCUACUACCUUUAACAACAAAAUCUACUACAUCCAACAACAAAAACUACUAUGGUGAGAUUUCGACGACCUUCAGAAAUGUCACAUAUAGUGUCGCUAACAACAAAAGUUACUACCAAGCAAAACAAAAACUACUACCCGGCAUAACAAAAGAUACUACCAAGCAUAAUAAAAGCUACUGCAAUCAAGAGAAUAUAACAAAUUCAAUGGUGCAAAAAAUAUGAAGCCUUCUACAAUAAUAUAAUUAUGUACAAAGCUUGUCACAUCCCGACCCUUAUAUUUUUACCUUAUUUACUAGCGUGAUUAUAAUAAGAAUUUUACCGUCUCGAUCAUUGAGUAAAUAGUUUAAUUGGUCCCUAGAGGGGUUUCGGGGACGAUUAUGUGCGGAGGAUUAUUAGUAUGAGGAAAAUACGACGACGGUAAAAAUGGUAAAUUUUAGCUAGUAAAAGGUAAUUUUUAUUCGGGUAUUAUUUUUCGGGGUGUUUUUAUUUUUUGAAUUGGGUUGAUAUAGGUUGGACCGGUGGAGGCCCAACCCAUUUUCUUUUUCCUCCUCCCUUUCUCUUCUUCCCUCUUUUUCUUUUCCUCUCCCCGAGCCUCCCGCUGCCCGGUUUUCCGGCCGCCCCAGACCGCCGCACCGGUCCCGUUCGGUCGGUCUCCCUCCCAGCAACAUUUCUAGACCGGUGACCGCCUCCCUAGCGCCGUCGUGAGGGAGAAACGCCGCCCGAAAGCUCCGACUGCCGAAUCGGUUUUCUCGCCGGAACUCCCUCCUCCGGCUGCCAUAUCCGGCGAGCCUUAGCCCAAAAGGAAGCCCUCCUCCCGUGCUUCAAUCCCUCCAAAGGGCUCGCUCCGUCGUGAGCUAGGUAAGGAGAAAUGGGAACUUGAAAUUUCUAGGGCUUUUUGUGUAUUUGUGUUCGAUUGAUGUGCUUAGGCUUAGAAUUGGAGUUUGUGGUAGUUAGGAAUGUUGUAGAGGAGGUUGAGAGGAAGAUGCUGCCAAAAUUUGGUAGCAUUUGCAGGUCGCCGGAAAACGGCUGCCGGCCGCCGCUGCCGGCGGAGCCGCCGCCGGUUAGGAGAUUUUUAGGGUUUUAAAUGUGGAAUAUUAAGAGGAGUAUAUUGGUGUGAUUUAUGGAAUUUUUGGAUGAGAUUUGGAUAGGUUUGUGAAUUUCCGAAGUUUGGUAUUUUUGGCGGUUAAUUAAUGUAGAAUCCGGCCGUAGGAUUUAAGUCGUAUUUUGGAGAGGUUGUAUUUACGACUGUUGAGUAUGAUAUUUAAGUUCGGAUCGUUCCGAUGUAAGAAUAUCGAAGUUAUGCAAUGAUGAGCGUAAUUAUGGCUCUCGGGUAAUUUUGCCUAUGUUGAUUAAAUAUAGGAUUAUUGGUUGGGAAAUUAAUAUUUUAUUUGGAACAGGACGUGAGGAGGCUCGAGCAGACGAGACCCCAGAUCGACUUCAGGCUUAGGCCUAAUUUGUGAGUGGACGUUUAUUUUAAAUAAAUGCAUGCUAAAGUUCACGAUUGAAUAAUUAAUGUCGUGGAGUAUUUUGACGUCAUUUUAAUUUUUGACGAUUUUUAUUUCUCGUGGAGAGAUACCGAAAAUGGGAUUUUCGGUGGAUAUAAAUAUGUAUUUAUGAGAGAGUAUGUAUAUAAAAUGCUAGCUAGCCAUAUGUGUCUGUCCACCUUAAUGGCGUAGCAUAUAGCCGCAUUAUGGUGUGACGUGAGCGUUGGACGUAAGCGUAGUAGCCCUAUUUGAGUGUUUAAUUCAUAUAGGGGUAUGGACACAGUAUUUAUACACCCGUCUGUCCACCUUGAUGGCGUAGUGUAGCACCGCAUUAAGGUCGUUGAGUAACGUAGGUAGACGUUUGGUACGCGAGCGUGUAGCCUAUAUUAGUACCCUAUUGAAAUUUAUAUAGGGAGUAUGGACGAGUGUAAAUACAUACAUAUAUUAUAGAGUCUGAGAGGCUCGAUAUUUUAUGGGAUAAAAGUUUUAUCGCUUGCGGCAUGCAUUCGAUUUUUCCUUAGAAAUUAAUUUGGGGAAACAUAAAUAUUUUAAUUAUUAUUUUAUUUUUUGUCCACUCACUCUAACGUUAUUAAAUGUUUUCCCCUGGGCCCUUCGUUUUAAAUUGCCCAGUCUGCAGAGUUCGGGUUGGAUCUAGUAGGAGACGAGGCAUAGUCACCCGCUUUUCUGCCAGUUUUCGCCAGUAGGUUACCUGUUCAACCUACUCGUGUUUUCUUGCUUCCGCUUGUGUUUAGUAGCUCUGAAUACUUUAGAAUUUUUGUAUUUUAUGCGAUGUUCAGAAGUGAUAAAUUAAGAGUGUAAUUUGAAAUUUUCGAGUUAGGGUUGUCCAUCUGCAAGGGAGAUUUUCUUAAUCUUUUCAGUAAAUUUUCCUUGGAGGUGGUCCCCGCACGACUUACUCUGGGUUUCAGGGUGAAAUUCGGGGUGGGUCGUGUCAAAGC